rnacentral:rRNA from 1 species
UACGGAGGGUGCAAGCAUUAAUCGGAAUUAUUGGGCGUAAAGGGCGCGUAGGCGGUUUUAUAAGUCAGAUGUGAAAUUCCGAGGCUCAACCUCGGAGCUGCAUUUGAAACUGUAAAACUAGAGGGUUGGCGGAGAAAAUGGAAUUCCACAAGUAGCGGUGAAAUGCGUAGAUAUGUGGAAGAACACCGGUGGCGAAGGCGGUUUUCUAGCUUACACCUGACGCUGAGGCGCGAAAGCAAGGGGAUCAAACAGG